rnacentral:rRNA from 1 species
AGCAGUAGCCACGGGAAUGCGAAGGGUGCAAGCGUUACUCGGAAUUACUGGGCGUAAAGCGUGCGUAGGUGGUGGUUUAAGUCCGUUGUGAAAGCCCUGGGCUCAACCUGGGAAUUGCAGUGGAUACUGGAUCACUAGAGUGUGGUAGAGGAUAGUGGAAUUUCCGGUGUAGCAGUGAAAUGCGUAGAGAUCGGAAGGAACAUCUGUGGCGAAGGCGACUAUCUGGGCCAACACUGACACUGAGGCACGAAAGCGUGGGGAGCAAACAGGAUUAGAUACCCCGGUAGUCCCUGUCUCUUAUAA